AAAAAGAAUAGAAAUAGAAACAGAAUAGGCAAAACGAAAAGCAGGGAAAGAAAGAAAGAAAGGAGAAAAGAAAGAAGAAAGGGAAAAUUGAAGGUUUGAAGCUUGAGAUUUAAAUAGUGGGACCAUGGAAUACUUCAUGUUUGUUGUAACUAAAGUUAUCUAUAGGUCAAGCUAGUUCGCCCGAAAAAUGGAAGAGUUUGGGCAAAAAUAUAAGUAAAAAAAUGCGAUUGGACAAAAAAAUAAGACCAAUUUAGAAAACGGGUCGAGCUUCAAGUAAGUUUUUUUUAGGGCCUUGCCUGACUUGGCUCAAAUUUGCAAAAAAAAAAACUUGUUGUUUUGCUGUUAUUUUUUUCAUAGUUUUGUUGCUGUUUUUCACUUUUUGCCAUUGUUUUGUUAUCAUUUCACAAUUAUGUUAUUACUAUUUUGUUGUUAAUGUUUGAAUAUUUUGUAACACUUGCUUUAUUGUAAAUUUUGCUAUUAAUUUAGAACCAUUUGCUUAUUAA